GAUGAACGCUGGCGGCGUGCUUAACACAUGCAAGUCGAACGAUGAAGCCCAGCUUGCUGGGUGGAUUAGUGGCGAACGGGUGAGUAACACGUGAGUAACCUGCCCUUGACUCUGGGAUAAGCCUGGGAAACUGGGUCUAAUACUGGAUAUGACUUCUCAUCGCAUGGUGGGGGGUGGAAAGAUUUAUUGGUCUUGGAUGGACUCGCGGCCUAUCAGCUUGUUGGUGGGGUAAUGGCUCACCAAGGCGACGACGGGUAGCCGGCCUGAGAGGGUGACCGGCCACACUGGGACUGAGACACGGCCCAGACUCCUACGGGAGGCAGCAGUGGGGAAUAUUGCACAAUGGGCGGAAGCCUGAUGCAGCGACGCCGCGUGAGGGAUGACGGCCUUCGGGUUGUAAACCUCUUUCAGUAGGGAAGAAGCGAGAGUGACGGUACCUGCAGAAGAAGCGCCGGCUAACUACGUG
rnacentral:rRNA from 1 species